rnacentral:rRNA from 1 species
UAAGACGAACCGUGCGAACGUUGUUCGGAAUCACUGGGCUUAAAGGGCGCGUAGGCGGGGGACCAAGUCUGGGGUGAAAGCUUUCGGCUUAACCGGAAAAGGGCCUUGGAUACUGGUUCUCUCGAGGGAGGUAGGGGUCUGCGGAACUUCUGGUGGAGCGGUGAAAUGCGUUGAUAUCAGAAGGAACGCCGGUGGCGAAAGCGGCGGACUGGACCUCUUCUGACGCUGAGGCGCGAAAGCCAGGGGAGCAAACGGGAUUAGAUACCCCGGUAGUCCUGGCCCUAAACGAUGGGUACUAGGUAGCAGACUUGACAUGGGUUUGCUGCCGAAGCAAAAGUGUUAAGUACCCCGCCUGGGGAGUAUGGUCGCAAGGCUG